AAGGGCACCACAAGAACGCGUGGAGCAUGUGGCUUAAUUUGACUCAACGCGGGAAAUCUUACCGGGUCCGGACACACUGAGGAUUGACAGGCAAUAUUAAUACGUGUUCGCACGUAUUAUGUUAAAAUAUGCUAGUCCUUUCAUGAUUAUGUGAUAGGUGGUGCAUGGCCGUUCUUAGUUCGUGGAGUGAUCUGUCUGCUUAAUUGCGUUUCACUAAGGGCCUAUAAAUUUACGUGUGUUGCGGCACUUUGACCCCUUUCUUCGGAAAGCGCGUGUCUUAGUUUGCUUUGCUCACACAAUUAGGUCCUGAAAGCAACGAACGUGACCGCAACCUCUUGUUGCCUUUAUACCAAACAUGUUUGACAUUUUUAUGGCAUUCAUGAAAAAAGGCUUUUUAAACUAGAGGGACCGCUGUUACUUUCUUAAACCAGAGGAAGGUUGCGGCAAUAACAGGUCUGUGAUGCCCUUAGAUGUUCCGGGCUGCACACGUGCUACAAUGAUUAUUGCAGUGAGCAUCUCAUUUUUACACACCGCAUGCGCGAGUCCAUUUAUUCACUUCGGUGCUUUAAAUGUGUAUUUCUGCGCGCGGUAAAGCCUGCUUCGAAAGUAAGUGGGUAAUCAAUUAGAAGUAAUGAUUUCCUUUUUAGCACACAUAUAUACGGCGUCUAUACCCGGGUUACCUUGUUGUAACUUUUGUGUGUAUAGAUGUUUUUUCCGUAUGUGCGAUUGUCAAUUCAUGGUGGGGACAGACCAUUGUUAAUUGUUGGUCUCGGUCUUAACUAGGAAUGCCUUGUACGGGUCUUUGGUUCAACAAACCACCCGGAAUACGUCCCUGCCCUUUGUACACACCGCCCGUCGCUCUUACCGAUGGACUUCUCUGUGAGUUUGAGGGACUGGGAACGCAGAAUUUAUUCUGCACACCUAUGGAAACUAAACGAAA
rnacentral:rRNA from 1 species